CUGCACGAUGUCCGCGAGUCCCCGCAACGACACUGCCACGAGGUACAGCCCUGAACACCCCUCCCCUCGUUAUAAAACGGAAGUUCGGCAGGUUACGUUAGUGCUCUCUGCGGCGGGCUGGUGGGUGCGCGCUCUAGGCCACUUGCGGGUGUCUGCGCUCGCGCUCCUACCGGCUGCCGCUCGCCGGCCCACUUGCCCCCUGGUCGCCAACCUGCCCCCUGCCCUCUACCAACCUGCUGGGCCUGUGAUCUGGCUCUUCUCACCAACCUCCAGAGAAGUGGCUUCCCUGUGCCUCACUUGUCUGAUGGCCCUGGCUAGUUCCUUCAUUCGGGCUUUGAGGAGUCCUAUAAUCCCAGAGCUAUCGGCAGACCACAGUUUUCAGUGUCUGCGUGUGGCAGAAAAAAACAGUCGCCGACACAGGGAAAUGCCUCCUGAAUGCCCCACUGAGGCCAGAGACUCAGUAGACCACAUCCUGAUCUCUUUGUAGCCACGAGCUUUUGUCUUCAGGCAGUUCAUACACUGAUUCGUGGAACAACAUUUAUUGAACACCUACUAUGUGCCAGGCACUGUCCUGUGCUGCACUGGGGACAGAGCCUGAACAAAACAGACAAGACUCCUGCCUUUUUUUGACCUUACAUUUUAACAGCGACGAUAAAACAUAAACAAUAAAUGGGUAUGUUAGAUGAGCCAUAGGAGCUGUAGAGAAAAAUGAAAUAGGAAACCAAGACAGGGAAUGUUGAGGGUGAAGGGUUAGACAGAGUAGCGAAGGAAGCCUUCACUGAGAAAAAAGGCUGGGAAGCGAAAUACUUAAAUAUAAUAUCUGAAACGUAACGACUACUUCUUUGGCCUAGAAACCAGCUAUAGCAGCUCCAUUCAAGGGUUUGUGGGGUUCUGUGUCAGAAACUUAGCCCCCGGGACAUCUCACGUUAGCUAGGACCCCAGAAGUCAGCUGGUCCAAUCCAGUGCCUCUGAUGUUUAAUCCUUUGGAAACUGGCCCAGGUGAGUGCUCGAGAACUCUGGAUUGGGGUAGUCAGGCCUGCUGGAUUCCCAGCUCCAGCCUCACCAGCCCAGAGACCUAGGCCAGUUACCCAAUCUCUUUAAUUCCAGUAUAUUUGCCUGGUAAGCGAGAUGACCAUUUUAGCUGGCAGGGGUGUCAGGAGCAUGACGUGAGAUGCUGUUGCCAGAGUGCUCAGCUCCAAGCCAGACACAGAGGAUACACUAAAUACACGCCAGAGACCUCUCUGUCUAGCUCGGUUGCUGACCCCUGUCGUUGAAGGAUUUUUUUACUGCAAUACCCAGUGUUCGUUGUCUCGCUACUUGGAAGAAUGACGAGGUGGGCACCAAAUGAGCAGCAGGCACAAGUUUAUUAGAGUAUAAGAUCAGAAAGGAAGAAUAGUAUGAAAGCUCUCUUUACAGAGAGAGGGCAUUCGAAAGUGAAUGCUUGAGGACUGUAGGCGAGGGUCCUUGUUUCAUAAGGUUCUGGUCAUGUCCCCUUCCCUUCCCCCUUUUUCCUUCUCAGGUCCUACCCUUACUGACUGGGUAGCUCUCGGUACUGGGUUGUCCAUUCCUGAUUGGCUCGUUUGAGGGGGGGAGGGGGCAUCUGUGGCCAUCCAUUCCCGAUUGGCUCAUUCUCAUCGUGAGGACUGUUCCUUGUGGGUCAUAGGUUUUAAGGUCUACUUGUUUUCAGUUAGGUCUUUCGUCAAAUUCCUGAGGGAACCUGAGGGGGAGUAGGUGGUGUCUGUUACAUUCUUAAGGGGAACCUGACGCCCGAGGGGGUUUGCUGUGGUCAGACCCUCCCAGCAUUGUUCCAAACUAUGUGUUUUUCCCCACCCAGGGACCUCAGGUCUGUCCUUUCCCUCUCUGCCCACUGAAUCGUAUCUUUUUUCCUAUCAGACUGUCACCACAAUGACGGGAAGCCCACCAUGGACAAGGCAAACCAUCCCCCUUAGACAUAGGCCCGUUUGCAUGGCGAUCAAGUACGCACUCCGGAGCCAGACCGCCUGGGUUACCGUCCUGGCCUUGCCCGUCGCCGGUGGCAUAAGCCUGUGCAAGUUCCUAACCUCGCUGAGGAGCAUUUCACUCAUCUGUAAAUGGGGGGUAAUGAUGCUGGCCACCGCAUAGGGUUAUACAAGCGACGCUGGUGAAGUGCUGCAGAACCAUGCCCAGGCUGCCGUGAGUGCAUGCCGUGUAGGUGUUUCCUUCUUUAUAUGGAUAAUGUCAGCUGCUGUUGUCAUCUGAACAGAAGAAAGACAUUUCCCUUGCCGUCACAAAGGGGCAGAAGGGACAUAGAGAUGAUAGCCUCAGCCUGUAUUUACCUAUUGUGCAAUAGUGUCCCCUCUGUCACGUUGGCUGACUGUGACCAGCUCUUUUCUGGGUCAGGAUGCAUAAACCCGUCACCUGUGUGUUGGCCAGAGGAAGGAAGGUGCAGGACCAGCGGAAGGUGGGCUCCUCUACACACAGGACCUCUCCCUCCCGGUUCCACCCACCCCCCGUGGCAGAGCUGCUCCCAGCAGGACCCCAGCUUUCUCCUGCUGCCUCAUCACAAAACACUCAGCUUCACACAGUAGUGCAGAUUGGAGUAACGUGUGCCAUAUUGGGACUCUUGUAACAGCUAGAAGUCCUGCGAAGAAACCGCUCACUGUUUCCUCACCUGGCUCCAACCCCAGGAGAUCAGCUCUGGUUUGUGUCAGUGGCAGGAAGUGGACAAGUUACAGUCUAGAUGGUAACUCACGACCCCCACCCCCACCCCUGAACCCAGGGAACUUCUGCUUGCUUCUUCCGGCCCCCAGGGCAGUUAGUGUGACAGGGAACAAAAUAUCAGCUGGUUGCCUGGGAAGGGAUUGUGGCAGCACGGUCCCCAUGUGAGUCCCCAGCUCUUGUGGCCUCAUGGAGGUAAUGGCAGUAGGACCAGUAAUCUCGAAGCAACAGAAACUGAACAGCCAAACUGCAGAGCUAACAUCUAUUGAGCACUUGCUAAGUGCCCAGCACUCAUUGAGGGCUUCCCAAGUUUAGUCAUCCCAGUGCCCCUAGGGAGUGGCUUCAGCUCGUACUCCUAUCCUUACAGAUGAGAGAACUGAGGCUUUUCAAGGUCAAGGAACCUGUCUGAGGCUUGUGGCCAGCUGGGAAGUGGCAGAGCCAAGAUGUACACCCUGAUCUAUCUGACUGCAAACCCCACAUUCCCAGUGGCCUACUGGUUCCCUGCUAAGUGACAUUCACCUCCAUGGUGAGGCUUUGAGCCUGCCAGCUACAGCUUCAAAAGUCUGCUCUACAGAUUGUCCACCUCUCAGCUCUAGAGCUACUUUUGAAGCCUGUGCUCAUUCAUUAUUUUACUCAACAAAUAGUUAUGAGCACCUGCCGUGUGCCAAAACCAUACCACAUGCUUUAGGUACAGUGGUGAAGAGGACAGACAUAUCUCUUUUCAUGUCAGGUUUGCAUUCUCUAUGAGAGAUAGUCAGGAGACAGAAUCACAUAAGAAGCAAAGAUGCAAAACCAUCUCAGGAAGCAAAGAGUCCUAGGAAGGACACAAAAGAGGGCAAUGAGGUAGGGACUGAACAAAACAGGGAAAGGAGUGACUAAAGAGCUGAUAGAAGAACAGCCAAAGAGAGCAGCUGGUGCACAGGUCCUGAAGUAGCAAUUGGCUGGUGUAGCAAAACCAUCUCAGGAAGCAAAGAGUCCUAGGAAGGACACAAAACAGGGCAAUGAGGUAGGAACUAGUUAAGGGAAUAUUUCUUAUGAAAUAACCUUUGGUUCAAGACUGAACAAAACAGGGAAAGGAGUGAAUAAAGAGCUCAUAGAAGAACAGCCAAAGAGAGAAGCUGGUGCAAAGGUCCUGAGGUAGCAAUGGGCUGGUGUAUUCAGUGAACAGCAAAAAGAAGGCCAGUGCAGCUAGAAGAGUAAGUGAGGAGAAGAUACACUAGAGAUAAGGUGGGAAAGUGAAAGCAAGAACCAGAUUAGGAAAGACCUCCAGGUCAUUGAAAAGACACUUGUGUUCUAUAAAUAGUAUGGCAAGUGGCUUCUGGGUAGCCCAGUCGGUUAAGCAUCUGACUCUUGAUUUCAGCUUAGGUCAUGAUCUCGUGGUUGUGAGAUCGAGCUCCAUGUCAGGCUCUGUGCUGGGAGCCUGCUUGAAGAUUCUCUUCCUGCCUCUCCCCUGCUCAGGUUCUCCCUCUCUUUCUCUCUCUCUCUCUCUCUCUCUCUCUCUCUCUCUCUCUCUCCGUCUCUCUGUCUCUCUCAAAGGAAUAAAAAAGAGUAUAAAUAGUAUGGUGAAAAGCCACUGGAGGAUUUUCAGCUGGAGAGCGAUAUGACCUGAUCUGAAUGUGUGGGAAUGAACUGUAGAGGGUCAAAGGGAAGACCCAGCAGAAGGGUUUGAUCCAGCCCCUACUUGAUUGCCUGUAAAUAUGUGAAGAAUGCAGUCAUAAUCUUCCCAAAUCUCUCCUUCUCUACCAAAUAUUUUCACUUCCUUCACCUGUUUCUCCUGUGGCAAGGUUUUGAAGUUCUCCCCAUCCUGCUUUGGACUCACUGACUUCUUGAAACUCCUUCCCAAACCAUGUUCUAGUUCUGUGGUUCCUCCUCUUCUCCAAAUCUGCUCCACCCCAUACCCCAGUGGUCCAUUCUCCUAUGUAAAGCAAUUAGCCCUAUUUCCUCACCCCUCCUGA
rnacentral:lncRNA from 1 species